rnacentral:tRNA from 6 species
GCCUCUGUAGCUCAAAGGAUAGAGCAACGGCCUUCUAAUCCGUUGGUUGCGCGUUCGAGUCGCGUCGGGGGCACUA